ncrna:unclassified sequences skipping-rope RNA
AGCAACGGAGGACGGAACAGGCAGCCGUCGCCCAGCGUUAGGAGAUGUGGGAAGCGUCACCCCACCCUUGCU